rnacentral:rRNA from 1 species
CCUACGGGCGGCAGCAGUGGGGGAUAUUGCACAAUGGAGGAAACUCUGAUGCAGCGACGCCGCGUGAGGGAAGACGGUCUUCGGAUUGUAAACCUCUGUCUUUGGGGAAGAAAAUGACGGUACCCAAAGAGGAAGCUCCGGCUAACUACGUGCCAGCAGCCGCGGUAAUACGUAGGGAGCGAGCGUUGUCCGGAAUUACUGGGUGUAAAGGGAGCGUAGGCGGGCGAGAAAGUUGAAUGUUAAAUCUACGGGCUUAACUGGUAGCUGCGUUCAAAACUGCCUGUCUUGAGUGCAGUAGAGGCAGGCGGAAUUCCAAGUGUAGCGGUGAAAUGCGUAGAUAUUAGGAAGAACACCAGUGGCGAAGGCAGCCUGCUGGGCCUUAACUGACGCUGAGGCUCGAAAGCGUGGGGAGCAAACAGGAUUAGAUACCCUAGUAGUC